AGCUGUGCCGUGAUCCAAGCUUUAAAGGUGUAUAUAGUUAUUUUAAGCUGUGCCGUGAUCCAAGCUUUAAAGGUCUAUAUAGUUAUUUUAAGCUGUGCCGUAAUCCAAGCUUUAAAGGUCUAUAUAGUUAUUUUCAGCUGUGCCGUGAUCCAAGCUUUAAAGGUCUAUAUAGUUAUUUUAAGCUGUGCCAUGAUCCAAGCUUUAAAGGUCUAUAUAGUUAUUUUAAGCUGUGCCAUGAUCCAAGCUUUAAAGGUCUAUAUAGUUAUUUUAAGCUGUGCCAUGAUCCAAGCUUUAAAGGUCUAUAUAGUUAUUUUAAGCUGUGCCAUGAUCCAAGCUUUAAAGGUCUCAUUAUGUUAAGCAGUGCCAUGAUCCAAGCUUUAAAUGUUUAAACAGUGCCAUGAUGCAAGCUUUUAAUGUUCAAACAGUGCGCCCUGAUCCAAGCUCGAAAUUUUUAAGCAGUGCCAUGAUGCAAGCUUUAAAUGUUCAAACAGUGCCAUGA